GAUGAACGCUGGCGGCGUGCCUAAUACAUGCAAGUCGAGCGAACAGACGAGGAGCUUGCUCCUCUGACGUUAGCGGCGGACGGGUGAGUAACACGUGGAUAACCUACCUAUAAGACUGGGAUAACUUCGGGAAACCGGAGCUAAUACUGGAUAAUAUAUUUAACCGCAUGGUUCAAUAGUGACAGACGGUUUUGCUGUCACUUAUAGAUGGAUCCGCGCCGCAUUAGCUAGUUGGUAAGGUAACGGCUUACCACGGCAACGAUGCGUAGCCGACCUGAGAGGGUGAUCGGCCACACUGGAACUGAGACACGGUCCAGACUCCCACGGGAGGCAGCAGUAGGGAAUCUUCCGCAAUGGGCGAAAGCCUGACGGAGCAACGCCGCGUGAGUGAUGAAGGUCUUCGGUUCGUAAAACUCUGUUAUUAGGGAAGAACAAAUGUGUAAGUAACUAUGCACGUCUUGACGGUACCUAAUCAGAAAGCCACGGCUAACUACGUG
rnacentral:rRNA from 1 species